UGGGGAAUAUUGGACAAUGGGGGCAACCCUGAUCCAGCAAUGCCGCGUGAGUGAUGAAGGCCUUCGGGUUGUAAAGCCCUUUUGGCGGGGACGAUGAUGACGGUACCCGCAGAAUAAGCCCCGGCUAACUUCGUGCCAGCAGCCGCGGUAAUACGAAGGGGGCUAGCGUUGUUCGGAAUUACUGGGCGUAAAGGGCGCGUAGGCGGCCUUCUAAGUCGGACGUGAAAGCCCCAGGCUUAACCUGGGAACUGCGUCCGAUACUGGGAGGCUUGGAUUCGGGAGAGGGAUGUGGAAUUCCAGGUGUAGCGGUGAAAUGCGUAGAUAUCUGGAGGAACACCGGUGGCGAAGGCGGCAUCCUGGACCGAGAUCGACGCUGAGGCGCGAAAGCUAGGGGAGCAAA
rnacentral:rRNA from 1 species